UACGUAGGUGGCAAGCGUUGUCCGGAUUUACUGGGUGUAAAGGGCGUGUAGCCGGGCUGACAAGUCAGAUGUGAAAUUCCGGGGCUCAACCCCGGACCUGCAUUUGAAACUGUUGGUCUUGAGUAUCGGAGAGGCAGGCGGAAUUCCUAGUGUAGUGGUGAAAUGCGUAGAUAUUAGGAGGAACACCAGUGGCGAGGGCGGCCUGCUGGACGACAACUGACGGUGAGGCGCGAAAGCGUGGGGAGCAAACAGG
rnacentral:rRNA from 1 species